CUUCUCACGUGUCCAAAGUCCCCAAAUUAGAUCAAAAAGUAUGUGGCCAUCCCAAGUUCACAUGACCGUAUCCCCUGUUCCGCCGAUUCCUUCCAUAUCCACGAACAAAGGCUAGAUCACCUCCUAACCGUAUCAUUCUUCCUCGGAUUUCCUCCCAGCAGCUUCAUCCUCUCCACGUCCCAGCACCCCACGUAUUAUCUCCAUCUUCUCUUCUUCCGGACAUCUCCCAGCUUCUCCCGCGAUGCAAAUCUUUCCAGCAGCUCACAUAUCUUCUUCAUCUUCAUCUCCCAUACUUCCGAUUCUUCUUCCCAAACUUCACGGAAACAGAACACAGCAGCCAAUGGAUUAGACCUUCAGCCACCCACGUAUCCCCUCUUCCAGCUUUCCGUGAGCCAAUCCACAUCUUUCCCAGCUCCUUUCAAAGCAACUCCCAGCUUCUUCCAAAUCUCCUCCCAACCGAACUAGCCUUCCAUCACCUACGGAUAAGCCCAGAUUAGCUCCACUUCCAGCCGUUCCUUCCAUCUUCCCGGGAUAAACUCAAAUCCCAUCCCCUAGCCGUGAGCAUCACCCAUGCAUCCGAGAUCUCCCCUCAGCGAAACAAAUCUUAGGAGCUCGUCUUCAUCACCUACCGAACUCAGGAUCAUUCUCCCAACGUCCAAAUGCAUCUUCCCCUGUUUCGGAACUAAUCCCAGCACUCCUUCUCCCCGAGCAUCACGGAAGAGCUCUCUCCCCUGCAUCGUGGAUAUUCUUCUUCUUCCGCGAUAAGAUCCAGCUCCUCGCGGCCGUGUUCAUCUUCCAGCCUUGCAUGCGCUCCCAAGCCACGUCCACAAACAAACUCCUCUGUUCAUACUCCUAGCUGUUCGACCCACCUCCUAGAUUUCCCCAGCCGCAUCUCAACCGGAUCAGCUUCAUCCACCCACGCCUCGUUUCACGAGCUUCAUCUUCCAGCCUUGCACCCUUAUCUCUUCUUCGGAACAGCAUCCCAGCCGUCCGCCUUAUUCAAACUUCUUCCCUGCUGCAGUAUCAAUUCGAAUCCAGCAUCAGAACCAAAUCUUAGCAUCCGGAGAUCAAGCCUCAUUCCGCUUUGACCCAUCCUUAUCUCAACGUGAAGUAGGGAAGAGGAGGAGGUAUGCAGUCUAUAAAAGGGCCACGCAUGAAACAGAGAAGGCAUUCCUCCUCUUCCCCACCGGGGGACUGCUCCCAUUCCUCCUUCUUCCCCAUCGAAGGAUCAGCAAUCUUUUCUUAGGUGACUUCCCACAGAGUGCAUGAGAGAGAUAAUAGUUUGGGCAUUUUGGGAAUAACUUUCCAUAUAAAAAAAUGAACUGCUGAGAGGGAGUUUUCUUCGAUGGGAGUCGCCGGAGGAAGAAAGAAAGAAGAGCUGGUCGUGAUGGAAGCCUUCUCCACCAUUGCUGCUGUUGCCCACGACUCCAUGGAAGGCUGAUCUCCUCUCCAGGGCCGGAUGCAGCCCUAACAAAGGGGUAAGGAUUUUGUAUUAUUGAUUUCUAUCCUUGGAGUUGUAUAAACUUUAUUUUGUUCUUAAUGAAUAUUUUAUUUCAUCUCAUAUUUAAUUUCUGUGAUUUUAAAUAUGACGUUUAUACAACUGUUCUUCAUGAUCACUAAGUUAAUAGAAGAUCCCCAUGCUUAGGGAAGAUGCAGUGUCCUGCCACAUUAGUUUAGGGUAGACAUUUCAUGCCAACCGAAGAUAGAUGUUCCUAAAUUACUUUUGUGAGAUUUUUAUUUGAAUGCUUAUUAGGCUUGUAGUCAAUUUGCAUGUUAAUCCAAGAAUAAAUUAAAAUAUAAUUAACCCUUGUUCCGAUGUUAGUGGUGAAUUUCUUGCCCUAGGUUUCUCCCAAACUGAUAUCAUUUUAAUUGCAUUUCUUAUUAAAUUGCUUAGUUUAAUAGUCUUCACAAAUUUUCCUUUUCAAAUAUUUUUUAAAAAGAAAAACAACUAUAUCCCAAUCCCUGUGGAUCGAUACCCGUAAUCACUAUCCUACCAGAUACGUGCUAUUGCGUGGUCUUUAAAGUUGACUAUCAAUUUUUGGCGCCGUUGCCGGGGAUUGUUAGCAUAGUUAUUUUUCUUUUCAUAUAUAUAUAUAUAAACUCUUUAAAAAAAUAUAUAUAUAUACAUAUAUAUCUAAAAUAAAAUAAAAAUAUUUUCUAUUUUUGUUACUUUACUUAUCCCUUUUUUCUCUCUUACUAAUUCUUGAUUUUUCGUUUGGUAUUAUUCGAUCAGGAAUCAAAGAGGAAAUUUGGGUUUUGGGACGAUCAAAAAGAGAACUACUGGAAAAGAAAUGCUGUAGAGGUUUGCUUUAAAAAAACUGCUGGAAAAAUUCUCUUUGGUAACAUCUGAAUCUUUCUUAUUUAAGUUGAUUCCCAAUUAGCUUAAAAUUUUGUGGUGAUUGUUUGAUUUUAAUUUCAGUAAAAGUAUGAAUGCAUGCUUGAUACACAUACACCAAUUAAUCCGCACAUAGUAAGGGCAAUCACCCCAACAAGAUAAGAACUGGAUUUCAUCACCAGAUUGUCGCCCAAAUUAGGUGAAUCAAUUCUCACAUAGCUAUCACUUUAAUUAAAAUCAAUUAGAUGUUGGCUCCUAGGGACAUUCGAGCUCAAUAGGACAAGAUCACUGAAAGUUGCACCAAUUUCGCUCUGUGACUCAGUUGAUAUCUAGGCAAGCUUUGUCCCAAGGGAGACAGUUCAUCUGUUCGAGGCAAGUGGUUUUUAUGUGGGACCUUUGCGAACGCAUCGUGACCCCCCCCCACUUACCUAGGAGCUUACCUGGUUAACUCAGUCAUUAGAUCGGAUUGGAGGCUU
rnacentral:lncRNA from 1 species